UCGGAGAGCUGUUUAUUCACGUUGCUCGCCACAGUCGAUGGCUUCAUUGUUUGCGGUAUGCAACUGUUACGUUGGUGUUUUCCUGUUCUAGAUUCCUGUGCUAAGUUGUUGCCUUAGCUUCCCGUGCGAUCGGCACGCUUUUCUAUGUUUGUAUCUGUCUUUUUAGUACGGGGUAUGAUUUAUGAUUAAUAAAUCAUCUCCUAACUGCACGUUUUCAUACGGAGUCGUCCGUUCUGCAUUCCAGGAGAACAAACCUCGCAGCAAGCUGCACCCCCGAUCGCGACACAUCAUACAGUAUAGUUAAUUAGUCCCCAGCGAGGCACACCUGCAACAAAUAUCUACCUAGGAGUAUUUAAGCUGGUCACCGACAGCUGGGUCCUGCCGGUUAUUGUCUCCUGCACCUCCCACAUGCAUGUGCCUGCUUCACUUUGUCAGCUCUGUAAUUCUACCUUGCCUCCUGUCUCUGCAUCCUGGGGUCACCUCCUUGAUCAGGUGGGUAAAGCGUCUUGCCCAAGGACACAACGGCAGUAACUAGGAUGGCGGAGGCGGGGAUCGAACCUGCAACCCUCAAGUUGCUGGCACAACCACUCUACCAACCGAGCUAUACAGCCCAAGUCUCAUUUCUAUUUAUAAAAGUCCUCAGUCAACUGUCUUUCCGGGACCGCCCAUGAACACCCAAAAGACCAUGACAAUGAAGAGUAUCAUAAUGACAAAUAAAAAAAAAAGAUUCCUUUAAAAUGUGACCACAUUGUCCUAAAAAUUGUGGGGGGGAUUUUCAUAAUGUAUUGUAUAUGUAAAUGUUUAACACUCACGUAUCAUAGACACUAUCCUAUAAUAUGAAUGGGCAAAAUGUGGGCCCAGAGGUUCAAAAGGAUCAGCUUGCAUAACUCUAUUUGUUGUCCAAAGUCCAUUUUUUUAAUGUGCUAAGACUUUAAGUCCUUUCUCAAAGUCCUUUCAGUUGUGGUUCUCAAAGUUUUACAACCAAAUGCUUACUUUUGUCAUACAGUCAGUUAUUCUCCUUGAAAAUUAAAUCCUAUUCAAAAAAUCAGCAAAAGUGUUGUUAAUACAUUGCUUUUUGUAUUGUGUCUGCUGUGUAUCAACCCUCCAGACAGAGAUAGUGAUAUGUUAGUAGUACUAACCCGGCAGGCACCAGACAUUGAAACAAUGUUGAGAACUUGUUGAAUGAUGUUGAGCAACUCCAA